CGGAGAGUUUGAUCCUGGCUCAGAUUGAACGCUGGCGGCAUGCCUUACACAUGCAAGUCGAACGGCAGCACGGAGCUUGCUCUGGUGGCGAGUGGCGAACGGGUGAGUAAUAUAUCGGAACGUACCCUGGAGUGGGGGAUAACGUAGCGAAAGUUACGCUAAUACCGCAUACGAUCUACGGAUGAAAGUGGGGGAUCGCAAGACCUCAUGCUCGUGGAGCGGCCGAUAUCUGAUUAGCUAGUUGGUAGGGUAAAAGCCUACCAAGGCAUCGAUCAGUAGCUGGUCUGAGAGGACGACCAGCCACGCUGGAACUGAGACACGGUCCAGACUCCUACGGGAGGCAGCAGUGGGGAAUUUUGGACAAUGGGCGAAAGCCUGAUCCAGCAAUGCCGCGUGAGUGAAGAAGGCCUUCGGGUUGUAAAGCUCUUUUGUCAGGGAAGAAACGGUGAGGGCUAAUAUCUCUUGCUAAUGACGGUACCUGAAGAAUAAGCACCGGCUAACUACGUGCCAGCAGCCGCGGUAAUACGUAGGGUGCAAGCGUUAAUCGGAAUUACUGGGCGUAAAGCGUGCGCAGGCGGUUUUGUAAGUCUGAUGUGAAAUCCCCGGGCUCAACCUGGGAAUUGCAUUGGAGACUGCAAGGCU
rnacentral:rRNA from 1 species